AACGAACACUGGCGGCGUGGUUUAGGCAUGCAAGUCGAACGUGAAAGUUUCCUUCGGGAAAUGAGUAGAGUGGCGGACGGGUGAGUAACGCGUAGGAAUCUAUCCUGUAGUGGGGGAUAACGUUUCGAAAGGAACGCUAAUACCGCAUACGCCCUACCGGGGAAAGGACGGGGAGUCUUCGGACCUCGUGCUAGAGGAGGAGGCCUGCGUCGGAUUAGCUAGUUGGUUGAGGUAAAGGACUCACCAAGGCGACGAUCCGUAGCUGGUCUGAGAGGAUGAUCAGCCACACCGGAACUGAGACACGGUCCGGACUCCUACGGGAGGCAGCAGUGGGGGAAUAUUGCGCAAUGGGCGAAAGCCUGACGCAGCCAUACCGCGUGUGUGAAGAAGGCCUCGGUUGUAAGACACUUCUAGUGGGAGGGAAAGGAACGUAGGUGG
rnacentral:rRNA from 1 species